rnacentral:rRNA from 1 species
UACGAAGGGGGCUAGCGUUGCUCGGAAUCACUGGGCGUAAAGGGUGCGUAGGCGGGUCUUUUAAGUCAGAGGUGAAAUCCUGGAGCUCAACUCCAGAACUGCCUUUGAUACUGAGGAUCUUGAGUUCGGGAGAGGUGAGUGGAACUGCGAGUGUAGAGGUGAAAUUCGUAGAUAUUCGGAAGAACACCAGUGGCGAAGGCGACACACUGGGCCAUUACUGACGCUGAGGCGCGAAAAGCGUGGGGGAGCAAACAGG